CUUUACGGCAGGGGUGGGCGUGGGGCGCCGUCGAGUCCCGCCGGCCCCCGCGCAAGGUUCAGAGCUGACCGGGUUUGUCCCGCCGGAGCGUGGCCUCAGCCAGAGGAGGCAGAGCGGAAGGAAAGGAGGAGGAGGGAAAUCGGGGACGUCGGUCAUCUCCAGGCGCUGGUGUUCUGGGUCACAGUUUGGUAAGAAGAUCCAAGGGCACGAUCAACAGCUCGUGCACUGCCUUGGUGUGGACCCAGAGUUCAAGCACAGACGAAGAUCAGACACUGACUUCACACUUCUGAUAGAUAAAUGAAGAAUUCAGAGCCUGAACCUAAGCUCAAAAUAAGAUGCCAAAAAAGGAAGAAAAGAUCAAAGAGCUUGGAACAGAAUUCCAGCAAGCUGAACCCAGAUUCUUUUCCCUAUAAGCCCUUGCUAUUUGGAUUGGCAGCAAAGCUGAUGGCAUUGAGAAGCUACCCCAGACUCC